rnacentral:misc_RNA from 1 species
CUUGUACACACCGCCCGUCAAGUCACGAAAGUUGGUAACACCCGAAGCCGGUGGCCUAACCCUUGUGGGGGGAGCCGUCGAAGGUGGGACUGGCGAUUGGGACUAAGUCGUAACAAGGUAGCCGUACCGGAAGGUGCGGCUGGAUCACCUCCUUUCUAAGGAGCACAGUGGCUGGCCGUGUGGCCGGCGCCCACGAUCCUCCACCGUUGUGGUGGGGGUGUGGUUGAUGCUCAUGGGUGGAAUAUCAGCAAGCGGACACGCUGCUCCCUGACACGGGAACACGACCGGGCACAGUCCUGGUGGUGGUGUUGGGGUGGUGGUGUGGUGGCACAUUGUUGGGUUGUCGAUCAACACGCUGGUGUUGGUUGGUUUCCCGCAGCACCACGAAGCUGGGACGGUUGUUCUGGUGGGGUGGUGCUGGUGGGUUGUUGUUUGUCAACUACAUAGUGGACGCGAGCAUCUUUGACGCCGCGCACCCUGUUGGGGUGUGUGGUGUGUUCUUUGAUGAUUUAUUUGUGUUGUGUGGCGUAUAAGUUGUUACGAGCACACGGUGGAUGCCUUGGCAUCAGGAGCUGAUGAAGGACGUGGAAAUCUGCGAUAAGCCUCGGGGAGCUGAUAAACGAGCUGUGAUCCGAGGGUCUCCGAAUGGGGUAACCCGGCUGCGUGUUAUGCGUAGUCACUCG